GCCGGGGUGGCGAAAUUGGCAGACGCGCUAGGUUCAGGGCUUAGUGGGCCAACGCCCAUGUGGGUUCAAGUCCCACCCUCGGCACCA
rnacentral:tRNA from 1 species